rnacentral:rRNA from 1 species
CAGCAGCCACGGGAAUACGAAGGGUGCAAGCGUUAACCGGAAUUACUGGGCGUAAAGCGUGCGUAGGCGGUUUGUUAAGUCUGCUGUGAAAUCCCCGGGCUCAACUUGGGAAUGGCAGUGGAUACUGGCAAGCUAGAGUGUGUCAGAGGAUGGUGGAAUUCCCGGUGUAGCGGUGAAAUGCGUAGAGAUCGGGAGGAACAUCAGUGGCGAAGGCGGCCAUCUGGGACAACACUGACGCUGAGGCACGAAAGCGUGGGGAGCAAACAGGAUUAGAUACCCCAGUAGUCCCUGUCUCUUAUAC